AGUUGAAAUUAGAAACGCUGAGAACAAGUGAAAUAAUUUCAUAACUAUAUAUAUUAGUUGCUAUAGUUAUAUAGUAUAAAUCUAUAUCCUUAGCCUUAUGGUGAUCGUCUGCAAAGACUACUGAUAGUAGAAGAUAAAUUUAUAAAUUUCAUUUAAUUAACCGUCUCCAUAAGACGGAGAAAGAUAGUUACAUAAUAAAUAAUACCGCAUAAAUUAUGAAAUUUACAUGACAACGCCACCAAAUAAUGGUCACAUAUAUGGCCAUGUUAGUCAAGAUACUUAAAACAUUAAGAAUUUUUUUACAUGUUAUGUAAAACAUGCUAAAAACUAACGAGUACAGCGUAAUUUCCACCCUUUCUAUAGUGAAGAUGAAAUUCCGGGAUAUUCCCAGGACUUUCAAGGACAUUUUUCAGUAAA
rnacentral:lncRNA from 1 species